rnacentral:rRNA from 1 species
GAUGAACGCUGGCGGCGUGCCUAAUACAUGCAAGUCGAGCGAGGCGGGGACGGGUGAGUAACACGUGGAUAACCACCUAUAAGACUGGGAUAACUUAGGGAAACCGGAUCUAAACCUGAUACUUCACGAUGGAUCCGCGCUGCAUUAGCUAGUUGGUAAGGUAACGGCUUACCAAGGCAACGAUGCAUGGCCGACCUGCGAGGGUGGUCGGCCACGCUGGAACUGAGACAGUGUCCAGACUCCUACGGGAGGCAGCAGUAGGGAAUCUACCGCAAGGGGCGAAAGCCUGACGGAGCAACGCCGCGUGAGUGAUGAAGGUCUUCGGAUCGAAAAACUCUGUUAUUAGGAAGACGGUACCUAAUCAGAAAGCCACGGGUAACUACGUGCCAGCAGCCGCGUAAUAC